rnacentral:misc_RNA from 1 species
AACGCAUAUUGCGCCCUUUGGCAUUCCGAAGGGCAUGCCUGUUCGAGCGUCAUUAUCAACCAUCAAGCCUAGCUUGUCGUUGGACUCGUGGUCGCCAUGACCGGUCCGAAAGAUAAUGGACGGCGGUGAUUACCCCCGAUGCAACGAGCUUUUGAUAGCACGCAUGGAAGGGUUGGUCAUCCCGGCCUCACUUUAUUUUCUCAGGUUGACCUCGGAUCAGGUAGGAAUACCCGCUGAACUUAA